GUUCUUGUAGUUAAAUCUGUAUAACGGCGGCUUUUCAGGCCGUAGGUCCUGGGGAAAGUCCGGGCAGGAACU
rnacentral:tRNA from 1 species